rnacentral:rRNA from 1 species
UACGUAGGUGGCAAGCGUUGUCCGGAGUUAUUGGGCGUAAAGCGCGCGCAGGCGGUUGGAUAAGUCCAUGGUGAAAGCGCCUGGCUCAACUAGGCGAGUGCCGUGGGGACUGUUCAGCUGGAGUGGAGCAGAGGCGAGUGGAAUUCCGGGUGUAGUGGUGAAAUGCGUAGAGAUCCGGAGGAACACCAGAGGCGAAGGCGGCUCGCUGGGCUUGACUGACGGCUGAGGAGCGAAAGCAUGGGGAGCCGAACGAGGAAC